AUGUGUUUCCCAGGUUCCUUAGAGAAAGCCCCAAGGACUCAGACGAGCCCACAGAGGGGAGCAGCACCCCCCUCCCCGGGCAGCCGCAUGCCUCACGGGCUCCUCACCCAGGCGCCAGGGCCUGAAUACCAAAGCAGAAAACAAAGGGAAAGGCUGAGUUUAACUCCUUCAGUGCCGGGUGAUCGACCUUUGCAUCUACCGUGUUGCCCUUCAAACCCCAGCCUGUUCAGUCCCGGAUGGAAAUUGCCCUGCGAGUGGGCGUGGAUUCAGUGAGGCUGUGGAGUGCCUCCGGGAAAUCAAACCGCGUCCACACCUGACCACACGCCCUGCGGGGAGAGCCUGGAACUUCAGGCAAAACCUGCACCGCAAAGAAAUUAAAAUCGCCGGCCUGUGGCCUAGCAGGAACAGCCACUGCCUGCAGGCCAGCGUCCCAUGAGGGAGCCGUCCACUUCUACUUCCACUCCCAGGUCCAGGGCCCAGCAGGAGGGAGCCCCACUACCCACCUGGGACCUGCUGAGUCCUGCUCCCUCCCUGGCCCACGCUGUUUCCUGAGAACCAAACUUGCUCUUCAGCCCUUGUCACGGGAGCACACGCGUGUCCUGCUGCACGGAAGCUGUCGCACACAGCAAGGAUGUGACUGCGGGAAAAGGUGACCUUGGGACGGAAAACGGUGAGGAGAGCAGAGCUCGCUCUAAAUUAACCCGCUCCCUGCAGGGGAAGGAUCCCCCCAACACACCCCGCCAGAUCGAUGGCAAAGCACGCCCGCCGGCUUCCGGAAGGUUCCAGCCUCAAACAGAGACACACGGGUUGCCUUGGGGUCGGCUCACAAAGCGAGCCUGUCGUGACCCAUCCAGGUCUGAACCACUUUCUGAGGCCCCCCCAUGUCGACGACACGCAUGUGCCACGGGCCUCACCGUCGGCUUCGCACGCACCCAUCGUCCCCAGCAAACAGUGAGCUUUGUUGCCUCCUUACGGACAAGCAAGAUGGUGCUGCCCACCUGCUGCCCUUCUCACUCGGGCCCCCGGGAAGCUCCCCCGGCCCAGAAUCUGCCAUUUUGCUCGCUCUGAGGUAACAGCCGUUCAUUUGCAAGGGCUUUGGUGCAGCAGUCAGGAUCCGCGUCCCA
rnacentral:lncRNA from 1 species